GCCUCAAAUUCAGAUUGUUUGGGAAGUUGUAAGUUUUAACCUCUGGUUAAUGGAAUUUUAUUCUUUGAAUUUGCUUCAUUCCUUAAUUUUCAUUUUAGAGUCCAUUUGACAAUCACCAAUCAGAUGGUUUCAUUCAGCGUAAUAUUUGAAUCAUGCAACAUCUAGAACUAGGCCUAGGAUUGGAAGCUUUGGAUAGAGGUGCAUGCAACAUCUAGAACUAGGCCUAGGAUUAGAAGCUUUGGAUAGAGGUGCAUGCAACAUCUAGAACUAGGCCUAGGAUUGGAAGCUUUGGAUAGAGGUGCAUGUGUUUGCUGCAUGUACAGUGGUUGCAUGCACAAAUGAUGGAUCAUCAGAUGUAUCGAAUAUCUCCUCCAAUUCAAUUAUGUGACUAAUUUUAUCUUCCUUGUUGUAAUAUCAUACGAGUAAUCUUCUUCUUCUUCUUCUUCUUCUUUUUUCUUUGGAAAGAUAAACUAUCUUCUAUUAAGAAACUAAAAUAGGAGUACAACAAGAUAUUAGUCCAGCUAGCAUCGCCUAAAACUAACUUUUAUUAAGGAACUAAAAUAAGACUACAACAGGACAUUAAUCCAGAUUCCAGCCAUUAUCAUCUAGGCCAGGCUAACAUAAACACCUUACACCCAACAAACAUGUAUCACCUAGGUAUCUAUGAGAUCAAACACCAUAGUGUCUUGAUACUUCUUGUUUGGCAUAUAUGUCUGGUAUAUCAUUGUCAUCUCUGCCCGCAUGGGAAAACACUAUUUGAUCCAUUACAUAGAUCCCUAUAACGUUUUUUUUGUUUGUUUACAUAUGUUUAAUAUUGCUUGUCCUAGCAUUUUCCUUUCAAAUAUUUACUGUAUUAUGCACUGACAAGGUGACCCGAGUACCCCUGUCUGUAAUUGUGGGGGAUACUUGUCUGAAAUCUGGUUACUGUGCAUGUUUGAUGUUAAUAUUGGCAUCCACUAGAUGUGAAUAUUGUUCUGGUGCCUAUGGUACUGGAAGACUUUUUGUAAGCUACAACUAUUCUGAAAUAGAUCACAACUGUUGAUGACUGUAUUUGCAAAGAUUAGCUUCUGAUUUUCUUUCUUGCUGUUGGAAGGGUUGGCUCAAGUACUGAUUUGAGCAUUAUCCUUUGCUUAUUUCCUUCCAAUUCAUAUAAUGAAGCAAAGGGGGUGAACAAGAAAAAGAUGAAACUUGUUGGGAAGGAAAUUAGGUUUUGGUUUUGUAAAUGCUUAUUGCACUAAGAAAACUAAAACCGUUGUCAAGAAAGUCACUAGCACAUCCCUAUCUAAUGGCUCAGAUAUUGAUGAUGCAAGGGAGUUGCUACUCCUGAGAAGAUCAGAGAACUGAUAAAGGUCGAGGGGCAGACCAACAAUGAAGUAGAGAGUCACUUGCAUGUGGGUUUUCGAUCUCGAUCUUGAAUUUUUAUUUUUUUUCCCUUCUUUGUUUUUGGUUCUUGGGAUAUUGAUGAUGGGUGGGUUGUAGCUUGUGGUACCAUCUUGGCACUUUUUUCUUU